rnacentral:rRNA from 1 species
GCGAACGCUGGCGGCAGGCUUAACACAUGCAAGUCGAGCGGGCCCUUCGGGGUCAGCGGCGGACGGGUGAGUAACGCGUGGGAACGUGCCUUCUGGUCUGGAAUAACCCUGGGAAACUAGGGCUAAUACCGGAUACGCCCUUUUGGGGAAAGGUUUACUGCCGGAAGAUCGGCCCGCGUCUGAUUAGCUAGUUGGUGGGGUAACGGCCUACCAAGGCGACGAUCAGUAGCUGGUCUGAGAGGAUGAUCAGCCACACUGGGACUGAGACACGGCCCAGACUCCUACGGGAGGCAGCAGUGGGGAAUAUUGGACAAUGGGCGCAAGCCUGAUCCAGCCAUGCCGCGUGAGUGAUGAAGGCCUUAGGGUUGUAAAGCUCUUUUAUCCGGGACGAUAAUGACGGUACCGGAGGAAUAAGCCCCGGCUAACUUCGU